rnacentral:ncRNA from 2 species
CGCCCCAAGGAGCGUUGCAGCGGACCACCCCGGUCCGUCAGGCUUGGGGCGGCGGUUUUUCCCAACGGCGCUCACCAGAU